rnacentral:lncRNA from 1 species
CCCCCCAAGGCAGAGACUUUACCACUUGAGCAAUUCCUGCAGCACAGGAAACUUGAUAAAAGUACCGAUCUGCAAGCACAGCGUAAGAUGUUCAGGAGGCGUGGGGAGAAGCAGGUGUCUGGUCUGGAAAGUCGGGACUGGUUCUGCUCAACACACUUAGAGCCAAGGCUGGGCCAGGUUCGCCCAAGGGGAGGAAGCCUGUGCUGGGGGAGCCCUGGCCUCUGUGCUUUGGGUUCCGCAGAGCCAGGUAGUUGACAGGUCUCCCAUCACUCAGGCUUGACUGGGGAGGGGCCUGGAGCUUUAGCCAAUCAGGAUCGCCGAUUUGUGGCGGCAGGGGCUGUCCAAUGAGGGGCGCGGACGUGAGACCGCUUCCCAAAGCGUGAUCUUCUUUUCCGGCGCCGCCAUAUUUGAAAUCCGCUUUGGUGGUGAGACGUACAGGUGUCCGAGCCUCUUUGGCUCUGUCUCCCUGACUGCAGGAGCCUAGGGCCGACGCCAGGACGCCCGCGAAGGCGGAGGAUGGCUUGAUCAAGUUUUAGAGGAAGACAAUAUAAUUAUUUAUGACCUAUGGACACCUGGAGGAAGUGUGUGAGAAAUUUAUCCCGGAUACUUCUUUAGAACAAGAUCAGUGGCAGUAUCUACACCAGAACAUCUUUCCUUUUUGUCCAGAAUGAAUAAGGGUACAGACGUGCUUUGUGGCAAGGAAAAAGUCAGCUUUUCCUUAGUGAUCAGGAGUGAGAAGCACUUUCAUGGCGUUGAAUCUCAGCGGAGUAAGUUGAAUCAUUGCCGUACCCGUAUGCUUGCUGGUAUGAAGGAAAAAAGGAAAACUUUGGUAACUAAUAAAUUCCAUCACCAGGCGCUGGUGCUCACUCCUAUAACCCUAGCUACUCAAGAGGCAGAGAUCAGGAGGACUGUGGAUCAAAGCCAGCCAGGCAAAUAGUUCAAGAGACCCCAUCUCAAAAAAUCCAAUACACACACAAAAAAAAAGGCUGGUGGAGUGGCUCCAAGUGUAGGCUCUGUGUUCAAACCCAGGGCUGCUAAAUAAAUAAGUAAAUAAAUAAAUAAAAUGGAAAGAG